UACGAAGGGGGCGAGCGUUGUUCGGAUUUACUGGGCGUAAAGGGCGCGUAGGCGGCCAGCUUUGUCAGGCGUGAAAGCCCUGGGCUCAACCUGGGAAUUGCGCUUGGGACGGGUUGGCUUGAGAUCGGGAGAGGAGAGUGGAAUUCCCAGUGUAGAGGUGAAAUUCGUAGAUAUUGGGAAGAACACCUAUGGCGAAGGCAGCUCUCUGGGACGGUACUGACGCUGAGACGCGAAAGCGUGGGGAGCGAACAGG
rnacentral:rRNA from 1 species